UUGUAAUUAAUUCAAAAUUAAUUUUUUUUCCAAAAGUUCUAACACUUCUUCUUUUUUUAUUUUUUUAAUUAUUUUAUUUUAUAUUUUAAUUAUUUCUUUCUCAUCUUCUUUAACGUCUAACUCUUUAACUUUCAAUAACAUCACCUUCUCUCUUUUUAUUAUUAUUGUAAUUAAUUCAAAAUUAAUUUUUUUUCCAAAAGUUCUAACACUUCUUCUUUUUUUAUUUUUUUAAUUAUUUUAUUUUAUAUUUUAAUUAUUUCUUUCUCAUCUUCUUUAACGUCUAACUCUUUAACUUUCAAUAACAUCACCUUCUCUCUUUUUAUUAUUAUUGUAAUUAAUUCAAAAUUAAUUUUUUUUCCAAAAGUUCUAACACUUCUUCUCUUCUUUAACGUUUCCCACUUCUCUCUCUUUAUUAUUAUAUUUAAUUAAUAAUUAAUUUUUUCAUCCCCCAUGUCUCCAUUAAUCUCUUCGUUUUUCAACUCUUGCUAAAUCUCUUUCAUCCUCUCCCUCUCCCGUAAAAAGUCGCUCGCUUUCAUCACUGUUGUAUCGCGUCAAGUUCAUAGAAUCCGCAGAUCCCGUCGUGUAUUUGGUGGGGAUGGCAGUGGUGGUAGAAGAUGAAGAUCUUGGAUGCGGCGGCUGCGGAAGCGGCAACAGAAGUGGAAGAGAGUGUAUGGAUAUAUAAUCAACUUACUAUUGAUAGUAUAUAUAUACGGUGAUAAUCAAGUAAUCGGGAAUUUUUUUGUAUUUUACUUUUUCUUUAAUGUUUUUCUUUUUAACUACCCUAUCUAUUAGCUUUUUUCAAUUUCUUUUAUAGUUAUUUAGAUGUAUGUAAAAUUGUUAAACAAUAAGCUGAUAGAAAAUAUAUUUUUUUAUAGAAUUUGUUUCUAGAAUUAGAUGUUUUUUUAAAGGAUUUGCAUGUAUGUUAUAAAUAAUUGCUUACCCCAAUUUACAAUUUUAUAUAUACACUGAAUAAUUUUAAAAAAUUUACUAUUAGACAAUUAAAAUCUAAUUCAACAAAUACAAUUUAAAUCAU
rnacentral:lncRNA from 1 species